rnacentral:rRNA from 1 species
CCUACGGGAGGCAGCAGUGGGGAAUAUUGCACAAUGGGCGAAAGCCUGAUGCAGCGACGCCGCGUGAGCGAAGAAGUAUUUCGGUAUGUAAAGCUCUAUCAGCAGGGAAGAUAAUGACGGUACCUGACUAAGAAGCACCGGCUAAAUACGUGCCAGCAGCCGCGGUAAUACGUAUGGUGCAAGCGUUAUCCGGAUUUACUGGGUGUAAAGGGAGCGCAGGCGGUGCGGCAAGUCUGAUGUGAAAGCCCGGGGCUCAACCCCGGUACUGCAUUGGAAACUGUCGUACUAGAGUGUCGGAGGGGUAAGCGGAAUUCCUAGUGUAGCGGUGAAAUGCGUAGAUAUUAGGAGGAACACCAGUGGCGAAGGCGGCUUACUGGACGAUAACUGACGCUGAGGCUCGAAAGCGUGGGGAGCAAACAGGAUUAGAUACCCCAGUAGU